UUGUUUUUUGGCAAAUUUCCGUUCUUUUAGACUUUCCUGCUGCCCAUCUUUACCUUCAUAAAGUUGAUUGGGUUGUCCAGUCCAUUUGUGUUUCAUGGAUCAAAAGAGCGCUGAAACCCAACUUUUUUUUUUUUUUAUCAAAAAAUGCUCUUUCCAAUUUUUGCAGGUUCCCAUUAAGUAAAUUUAUUUUAGUAAUUCAAUGGUCAACAGAGGCUACUAGGUGCUACUAGAGGCACCAAAAAUCCCUUCAAGCCUGGAAAAGCUUUGGGAUUCAGAAUCACCUGGAGGACGAAUUUCUGGGUUUUUGUUACUUCAGUGACAUAAUUUCAGAUGAUGCUGGGAAAUUUGGGGGAAGUCUGUUCCUUUACUCCAUUUUUAUCUCAGCUGAGCAAAUCAUUUGAUUUUGUUUAAGCCUCAAUUGUUUUACUUUAGUGCAUUCAUAUCUUUCUUCACCAACAGAGGGAAUGUUGCUUUACAGCUGAAAGAAAACUCGGGGAGGAAAACGGUUCCAUCAUUCAGCAGCUCGUUUGUGUUCAUGAACAGAUAUAACUGAUAAAUAAACAUCAUCAUCAGAAACUUCGGGGAGAAACAGAUGCCUAACGCAUUUUCGCCUCUUCUAUGGGAAUGUCUGAUGUUUCAGCCGGACUCCACUAAAGAAAAAGGAUGCUGCAGCACUCGUCCUGAAAACAAAUGUUGCACUGAUAUAUUUAAAAAAGAAAAAAUCUAUGUGUUUAUGAUGUUGAUUUAUGAAAAGAGAGGAGGGAAAACGGAGAGGACAGUGUUAUUGUUGCUUCUUUUUAACAUGGUUUUAGACAGCCAUGGUAUAAUUCUGAAUUGUACAAUUUACAGAGAUGUUUUUCAUUCUCGAAAAAGCUUAUAUACGAGUAACGAUUUUAUUUACUUGGUAUAAUAUCACCUUGUGUUUUUUGUACCGUCACUGAUGUACGUGCCAUUGUUUUCUUCUGUUUUUCUUUGGAUGACAAGAGAAAGCGUUUUAUUUUCUGUACUGUUUCCGUAGUUUUCUUGUCUAAGAAUAAAACAAAAAACAAAGGAAAACAAGGAAGUAAAAAGAAUCAGAAAGCUGUGAGGCCUUAUGUGACUUAAAGUAUUGUUUGUACUUUGACUUUCUGCUCCGCACCCGACUCAUCCAUCUCUGUUGUUUCAGACUCUCAUCACUGACUAUUACAUUCCAAAGAAUUGGGUCAAAUAAAUGUUUUAAAUAAAA